rnacentral:rRNA from 1 species
UGGGGAAUAUUGGACAAUGGGCGAAAGCCUGAUCCAGCAAUGCCGCGUGAGUGAUGAAGGCCUUAGGGUUGUAAAGCUCUUUUACCAGGGAUGAUAAUGACAGUACCUGGAGAAUAAGCUCCGGCUAACUUCGUGCCAGCAGCCGCGGUAAUACGAAGGGUGCAAGCGUUACUCGGAAUUACUGGGCGUAAAGCGUGCGUAGGUGGUUGUUUAAGUCUGAUGUGAAAGCCCUGGGCUCAACCUGGGAAUGGCAUUGGAAACUGAGCAGCUAGAGUGAGGUAGAGGGUAGUGGAAUUCCCGGUGUAGCAGUGAAAUGCGUAGAGAUCGGGAGGAACAUCUGUGGCGAAGGCGACUGCCUGGACCAGCACUGACACUGAGGCACGAAAGCGUGGGGAGCAAACA